rnacentral:rRNA from 1 species
GACAGAGGGUGCAACCGUUGCUCGGAAUUACUGGGCGUAAAGCGCGUGUAGGCGGUCACGCAAGUCAGGUGUGAAAGCCCUGGGCUCAACCCAGGAAGUGCACAUGAUACUACGUGGCUGGAGUACUGAAGAGGAGAGCGGAAUUCCCGGUGUAGAGGUGAAAUUCGUAGAUAUCGGGAGGAACACCAGUGGCGAAGGCGGCUCUCUGGGCAGAUACUGACGCUGAGACGCGAAAGCGUGGGUAGCAAACAGG